UACGCAGGGGGCUAGCGUUGUUCGGAAUUACUGGGCGUAAAGCGCGCGUAGGCGGUUUUGCAAGCCAGAGGUGAAAUGCCUGAGCUCAACUUAGGAAUUGCCUUUGGGACUGCGAGGCUUUGAGGACUGGAGAGGUGAGUGGAAUUCCCAGUGUAGAGGUGAAAUUCGUAGAUAUUGGGAAGAACACCGGUGGCGAAGGCGGCUCACUGGCCAGUUUCUGACGCUGCAGCGCGAAAGCGUGGGGAUCAAACAGG
rnacentral:rRNA from 1 species